rnacentral:rRNA from 1 species
UGGGGAAUUUUGGACAAUGGGCGAAAGCCUGAUCCAGCAAUGCCGCGUAUGUGGAGAAGGCCUUCGGGUUGUAAAGCACUUUUGUCCGGAAAGAAAUCCUUGGCUCUAAUACAGUCGGGGGAUGACGGUACCGGAAGAAUAAGCACCGGCUAACUACGUGCCAGCAGCCGCGGUAAUACGUAGGGUGCAAGCGUUAAUCGGAAUUACUGGGCGUAAAGCGUGCGCAGGCGGUUUGCUAAGACCGAUGUGAAAUCCCCGGGCUCAACCUGGGAACUGCAUUGGUGACUGGCAGGCUAGAGUAUGGCAGAGGGGGGUAGAAUUCCACGUGUAGCAGUGAAAUGCGUAGAGAUGUGGAGGAAUACCGAUGGCGAAGGCAGCCCCCUGGGCCAAUACUGACGCUCAUGCACGAAAGCGUGGGGAGCAAACAGGAUUAGAUACCCUGGUAGUCCACGCCCUAAACGAUGUCAACUAGUUGUUGGGGAUUCAUUUCCUUAGUAACGUAGCUAACGCGUGAAGUUGACCGCCUGGGGAGUACGGUCGCAAGAUUAAAACUUAAAGGAAUUGAC